rnacentral:misc_RNA from 1 species
CCAAACUUGGUCAUUUAGAGGAAGUAAAAGUCGUAACAAGGUUUCCGUAGGUGAACCUGCGGAAGGAUCAUUACCUUUCUAUCAGAAACCGCUCUAUACUCGGGCUUGCCCGACGUGUAAGCGGCCUGAUUCUCCCCAUGUCUUUUGCGCACUCUUGUUUCCUGGGCAGGCUCGCCUGCCAACAGGACAACCUACAACCCUUGCAAUUGCAAUCAGCGUCAGUAACAAGUAAUUAUUACAACUUUCAACAACGGAUCUCUUGGUUCUGGCAUCGAUGAAGAACGCAGC